UACGUAGGGUGCAAGCGUUGUCCGGAAUUAUUGGGCGUAAAGAGCUCGUAGGCGGUUUUGUCGCGUCUGCCGUGAAAGUCCGGGGCUCAACUCCGGAUCUGCGGUGGGUACGGGCAGACUAGAGUGAUGUAGGGGAGACUGGAAUUCCUGGUGUAGCGGUGAAAUGCGCAGAUAUCAGGAGGAACACCGAUGGCGAAGGCAGGUCUCUGGGCAUUAACUGACGCUGAGGAGCGAAAAGCAUGGGGGAGCGAACAGG
rnacentral:rRNA from 1 species